rnacentral:rRNA from 1 species
UACGAAGGGGGCUAGCGUUGCUCGGAAUUACUGGGCAUAAAGCGCACGUAGGCGGCUUUCUAAGUCGGAGGUGAAAUCCUGGAGCUCAACUCCAGAACUGCCUUCGAUACUGGAGAGCUCGAGUCCGGGAGAGGUGAGUGGAACUGCGAGUGUAGAGGUGAAAUGUGUAGAGAUCGGGAGGAACACCGGUGGCGAAGGCGGGUCUCUGGGCAAUUCCUGACGCUGAGGCGCGAAAGCGUGGGGAGCAAACGGG